AUCAUGAGUCCCUGUAUCUGCAUCCAGACUGACAGCGCUGUCUUUGCCUCCUGUCAACAGCUGCUGAGUCAAAGAUUGAAGCUGAUAAAAGCCUACCAGCAAGUAACGUUGGCAGCCUACCUUAACAACUCUGAUGAGCAACGACAUAUGGAGUCCGAUUGCUGCAGAGGACAGAGAUGAGAUGAGAGAAGCACGAGGAGCAGCCAUGUGCUCUACAGAAGCAGAGAAAUGCCUUUGACAAGGAUACAGCUGCAUCAUAGUAUGGCGGUGGCAUAACACGAUGCUGCAUCUCAGCGCUUUUGAACGACUCAGCAGCUCGACAUCCUUCGGGCCAGACAACUACCAGAGUCCUGAUGGCAUAGCUUAGACUUGUAGCAGCUAAGUGCCAUAAUCUCACAGCGCAAGUAGCUUGCUGACAAAGCAGACAGACAAACGUGUUGGAGCCGUGUUAACAGUUUACCUAUUUCAGCUGCGCAGCUCGAGAUGGCUGCGCACCACUGCAGUAAAACCUUAGGGAACAUCGAUCUGCCCUUUUGCACAAAGCUCGUUUUACCCAGAUGAAUGUUCCUGCUGCCUCCGCUGUGUCUUUGGGAGAAAAACGGUGAAAUAAAUAC
ensembl:lncRNA